rnacentral:rRNA from 1 species
AGUGGAUGGGGAGCAACCUAGUUGUGCGUGUGUAAAGGUAGUGCCAAGAAAAGCGAUGAUCAUGUUGAAAAUCAAUUCCCGGUACCCGAAACCGACACAGGUGGGCAAGUAGAGAAUACUAAGGGGCGCGAGGUAACUCUCUCCAAGGAACUCGGCAAAAUGACCCCGUAACUUAGGGAGAAGGGGUGCCACCGAGAGGUGGUCGCAGUGAAGAGGCCCAGGCGACUGUUUAGCAAAAACAUAGGUCUCUGCAAACUCGAAAGAGGAGGUAUAGGGGCUGACGCCUGCCCAGUGCCGGAAGGUUAAAGAAGUUGGUCAGUCUUAGGAUGAAGCUAGCGACUGAAGCCCCGGUGAACGGCGGCCGUAACUAUAACGGUCCUAAGGUAGCGAAAUUCCUUGUCGGGUAAGUUCCGACCCGCACGAAAGGCGUAACGAUCUGGGCGCUGUCUCGGAGAGAGGCUCGGCGAAAUAGGAUUGUCUGUGAAGAUACGGACUACCUGCAUUUGGACAGAAAGACCCUAUGAAGCUUUACUAUAGCUUGGAAUUGUGUUCGGGCUUCCUGUGCGCAGGAUAGGUGGGAGGCGUAGAAGGUAUUCUUGUGGGGAUACUGGAGCCAACGGUGAGAUACCACUCUCAGGAGGCUAGAAUUCUAACUUAAUUAAGGACAGUUUCAGGUGGGUAGUUUGACUGGGGCGGUCGCCUCCAAAAAGGUAACGGAGGCGUACAAAGGUUCCCUCAGACUGGUUGGAAAUCAGUCGAAGAGUGCAAAGGCAGAAGGGAGCUUGACUGCGAGAAGUACAGUUCGAGCAGGGUGGAAACACGGUCUUAGUGAUCCGACGGUGCUGUGUGGAAGGGCCGUCGCUCAACGGAUAAAAGUUACUCUAGGAUAACAGGCUGAUCUCCCCCAAGAGUUCACAUCGACGGGGAGGUUUGGCACCUCGAUGUCGGCUCAUCGCAACCUGGGGCGGAAGUACGUCCCAAGGGUUGGGCUGUUCGCCCAUUAAAGCGGUACGUGAGCUGGGUUCAGAGCGUCGUGAGACAGUUCGGUCCAUAUCCGAUGUAGGCGUGAGAAUAUUGAGAGGAGCCUUCCUUAGUACGAGAGGACCGGGAAGGACGCACCGCUGGUGUACCUGUUAUGAUGCCAAUUGUAAACGCAGGGUAGCCAAGUGCGGAGAGGAUAACCGCUGAAAGCAUCUAAGUGGGAAGCCCACCUCAAGAUGAGUAUUCUGGUGUAAGGUCACGGGAAGACGACCCGUAAAUAGGCACGAGGUGGAAGUGCAGAGAUGUAUGAAGCCGAAGUGUACUAAUAGACCGUCGGCUUGACCA